rfam:Triticum aestivum genome assembly, contig: Triticum_aestivum_CS42_TGACv1_scaffold_643096_T_1BL-0.078745_3DS-0.074471
GAUGCACUCCCUCCGUCCCGAAUUACUUUUCGCACAAAUGGAUAGAAAUGGAUGUAUCAAGAACUUAAAAUACGUCUAGACACAUCAAUUUCCGCGUCAAGUAAUUCCGGAUGGAGGGAGUAUUUG